rnacentral:rRNA from 1 species
GAUCAGUGGCUCGAGGACGACGCUGGCGGCGUGCUUAACACAUGCAAGUCGAACGGUAAGGCCCUUCGGGGUACACGAGUGGCGAACGGGUGAGUAACACGUGGGUGAUCUGCCCUGCACUUUGGGAUAAGCCUGGGAAACUGGGUCUAAUACCGAAUAUGACCAUGGACUUCACGGUUUGUGGUGGGAAGCUUUUGCGGUGUGGGAUGGGCCCGCGGCCUAUCAGCUUGUUGGUGGGGUAAUGGCCUACCAAGGCGACGACGGGUAGCCGGCCUGAGAGGGUGACCGGCCACACUGGGACUGAGAUACGGCCCAGACUCCUACGGGAGGCAGCAGUGGGGAAUAUUGCACAAUGGGCGCAAGCCUGAUGCAGCGACGCCGCGUGGGGAUGACGGCCUUCGGGUUGUAAACCUCUUUCACCAGGGACGAAGCGAGAGUGACGGUACUUGGAGAAGAAGGACCGGCCAACUACGUG